UYAGAUGUCYGGGGCCGCACGCGUGCUACACUGAAGGAAUCAGCGUGUGCUUUCCCGGUCCGGCAGGACUGGGUAACCCGUUGAACCUCCUUCGUGAUAGGGAUAGGGGCUUGCAAUUAUUCCCCUUGAACGAGGAAUUCCUAGUAAGCGCGAGUCAUCAGCUCGUGCUGAUUACGUCCCUGCCCUUUGUACUCACCGCCCGUCGCUGCAACCGAUUGAAUGAUUUAGUGAGGUUCUCGGACUGGCGCUCGGAACGGCAUCGCCGGGCCGAAGUGCCGGGAAGAUGACCGAACUUGAUCAUUUAGAGGAUGCAAAAGUCGUAACAAGGUUUCC
rnacentral:rRNA from 1 species